UGGGGAAUAUUGGACAAUGGGCGCAAGCCUGAUCCAGCCAUACCGCGUGGGUGAAGAAGGCCUUCGGGUUGUAAAGCCCUUUUGUUGGGAAAGAAAUCCAGCCGGCUAAUACCUGGUUGGGAUGACGGUACCCAAAGAAUAAGCACCGGCUAACUUCGUGCCAGCAGCCGCGGUAAUACGAAGGGUGCAAGCGUUACUCGGAAUUACUGGGCGUAAAGCGUGCGUAGGUGGUUGUUUAAGUCUGUUGUGAAAGCCCUGGGCUCAACCUGGGAACUGCAGUGGAAACUGGACAACUAGAGUGUGGUAGAGGGUAGCGGAAUUCCCGGUGUAGCAGUGAAAUGCGUAGAGAUCGGGAGGAACAUCCAUGGCGAAGGCAGCUACCUGGACCAACACUGACACUGAGGCACGAAAGCGUGGGGAGCAAACA
rnacentral:rRNA from 1 species